UGCCGACUGGGAGGCGAUGAUCCAGUGAUUUGAAUUGGUCGCUGCUCCGGAUUAAGGUGCAGUCACUGGGGAGCCAAAGCGAAACCGGCCCAAGUGGGG
rnacentral:ncRNA from 1 species